AUUGAACGCUGGCGGCAGGCCUAACACAUGCAAGUCGAACGAGUGGCGGACGGGUGAGUAAUGUCUGGGAAACUGCCCGAUGGCGGGGGAUAACUACUGGAAACGGUAGCUAAUACCGCAUACCAUCGGAUGUGCCCCGAUGGGAUUAGCUAGUAGGUGGGGUAACGUCUCACAUAGGCGACUAUCCCUAGCUGGUCUUAGAGGAUGACCAGCCAAACUGGAACUGAGACACGGUCCAGACUCCUACGGGAGGCAGCAGUGGGGAAUAUGGCACAAUGGGGGAAAGCCUGAUGCAGCCAUGCCGCGUGUAUGAAGAAGGCCUUCGGGUUGUAAAGUACUUUCAGCGAGGAGGCGUUACUCGCAGAAGAAGCACCGGCUAACUCCGUGCCAGCAGCCGCGGUAAUUC
rnacentral:rRNA from 1 species